AAUCACAUCUACCAUGCUUUUUGUUGAUGACAAAGGGGGAGAAAUAUAUGAAUUGAUAUGUUUGCUAUCACUGAUGUUGAUAUGGUUGCUAUCACUGAUGCUGAUAUGUUUGCUAUCACUGAUGUUGAUAUGGUUGCUAUCACUGAUGCUGAUAUGUUUGCUAUCACUGAUGUUGAUAUGAUUGCUAUCAUUGCUAUGAUUAGGCCAUACUUGCAUCACCAAGAAAUAUAUGAUUGCUAUCAUUGCUAUAUGCCCUGUAUCAAGAUAUCAACUAUCAUUGCUAUAUGCCCUGUAUCAAGAUAUCAAACAAAAAUUUGCAUCGUACGAGCUGAUAUCUUACCA
rnacentral:lncRNA from 1 species